CCUACGGGAGGCAGCAGUAGGGAAUCUUGGACAAUGGGCGCAAGCCUGAUCCAGCCAUGCCGCGUGAGUGAAGAAGGCCUUAGGGUCGUAAAGCUCUUUCGCCUGUGAUGAUAAUGACAGUAGCAGGUAAAGAAACCCCGGCUAACUCCGUGCCAGCAGCCGCGGUAAUACGGAGGGGGUUAGCGUUGUUCGGAAUUACUGGGCGUAAAGCGCGCGUAGGCGGAUUGGAAAGUUAGAGGUGAAAUCCCGGGGCUCAACCCCGGAACGGCCUUUAAAACUCCCAGUCUAGAGUUCGAGAGAGGUGAGUGGAAUUCCAAGUGUAGAGGUGAAAUUCGUAGAUAUUUGGAGGAACACCAGUGGCGAAGGCGGCUCACUGGCUCGAUACUGACGCUGAGGUGCGAAAGUGUGGGGAGCAAACAGGAUUAGAUGCCCUGGUAGUCCACACCGUAAACGAUGAAUGCCAGUCGUCGGAUAGUAUACUAUUCGGUGACACACCUAACGGAUUAAGCAUUCCGCCUGGGGAGUACGGUCGCAAGAUUAAAACUCAAAGGAAUUGACGG
rnacentral:rRNA from 1 species